UAACACGUAUCCAACCUGCCGAUGACUCGGGGAUAGCCUUUCGAAAGAAAGAUUAAUACCCGAUGGCAUAAUUCUUCCGCAUGGUAGAACUAUUAAAGAAUUUCGGUCAUCGAUGGGGAUGCGUUCCAUUAGGUUGUUGGCGGGGUAACGGCCCACCAAGCCUUCGAUGGAUAGGGGUUCUGAGAGGAAGGUCCCCCACAUUGGAACUGAGACACGGUCCAAACUCCUACGGGAGGCAGCAGUGAGGAAUAUUGGUCAAUGGACGAGAGUCUGAACCAGCCAAGUAGCGUGAAGGAUGACUGCCCUAUGGGUUGUAAACUUCUUUUAUACGGGAAUAAAGUGAGGCACGUGUGCCUUUUUGUAUGUACCGUAUGAAUAAGGAUCGGCUAACUCCGUGCCAGCAGCCGCGGUAAUACGGAGGAUCCGAGCGUUAUCCGGAUUUAUUGGGUUUAAAGGGAGCGUAGGCGGACGCUUAAGUCAGUUGUGAAAGUUUGCGGCUCAACCGUAAAAUUGCGGUUGAUACUGGGUGUCUUGAGUACAGUAGAGGCAGGCGGAAUUCGUGGUGUAGCGGUGAAAUGCUUAGAUAUCACGAAGAACCCCGAUUGCGAAGGCAGCCUGCUGGACUGUAACUGACGCUGAUGCUCGAAAGUGUGGGUAUCAAACAGGAUUAGAUACCCUGGUAGUCCACACAGUAAACGAUGAAUACUCGCUGU
rnacentral:rRNA from 1 species